CACUGACGUUGGAUGGUGUUGGAAGGCGGAAGGCUUUCACGGACAAAGGAAGAAAGUGAAGAGCGGGGGGUUGUCGUGAAUGAAUGUAAAGAGGGUUGGGGAGUUGCGGAAGAAAGUGAAUAGCGAAUGGGGGAGGAGGGCGGUUAAGGAGGGGGAUCGGUAAAAUGAGGUGCUGGAUCAGAUUUCAGAGGUGCCGGAUCCAGCGUGUUCCAGCACAAAUUAAGCCCUGGAUAUUGUUCUUACAAAAAUGCGUGGAUUUGCAACAGGAGACCUUUAUUCAGCCUCCAUAGCCACAUGGGGCACUUAUUUUCAUUGAUAGAUGCAUUUAUUGGACUUGUUUUGGAAGAAAUACACCUGUCUGAUGCCAUUUCAGAGCUGGAAAAGCCAUAGAUCAUUUUUAAUAGAACUUUAAUUGAAUUCGACUGAAUGUAGAAAGUCAUGUACACCACUAGUAAGCCUUGAAAGUGAGUAAAUCACUAGAUAAUUUUCAUUUUUGAGUGAACUAACCCUCUCAUGAAGAACAAACUGCAGUACUAAUGUAGCUUUACACCUGGUUGGGGCAUUAAGAUCAUUUUUGCUGUGAUGAAAACGUGAUUGUAUACCUUUCAUGAUCUGCUUUACCUGUCUGUGCUCUUCUUUCCUCUGCUCCUUCCUCUGUUUAAUCUGACGAGGCUCUGAACGAGUCCAUUUUGAGUUUGGUCUCCUGAAACGCU
rnacentral:lncRNA from 1 species